rnacentral:rRNA from 1 species
GACGAACGCUGGCGGCGUGCUUAACACAUGCAAGUCGAACGGAAAGGCCCUGCUUUUGUGGGGUGCUCGAGUGGCGAACGGGUGAGUAACACGUGAGUAACCUGCCCUUGACUUUGGGAUAACUUCAGGAAACUGGGGCUAAUACCGGAUAGGAGCUCCUGCUGCAUGGUGGGGGUUGGAAAGUUUCGGCGGUUGGGGAUGGACUCGCGGCUUAUCAGCUUGUUGGUGGGGUAGUGGCUUACCAAGGCUUUGACGGGUAGCCGGCCUGAGAGGGUGACCGGCCACAUUGGGACUGAGAGACGGCCCAGACUCCUACGUGAGGCAACAGUCGGAAAUAUUGCACAAUGGGCGGAAGCCUGAUGCAGCAACGCCGCGUGCGGGAUGACGGCCUUCGGGGUGUAAACCGCUUUCGCCUGUGACGAAGCGUGAGUGACGGUAAUGGGUAAAGAAGCACCGGCUAACUACGUG